GGGCGCCCAACCUCCCACCCGUGACUACCUAACACUGUUGCUUCGGCGGGGAGCCCUCUCGGGGGCGAGCCGCCGGGGACUACUGAACUUCAUGCCUGAGAGUGAUGCAGUCUGAGUCUGAAUAUAAAAUCAGUCAAAACUUUCAACAAUGGAUCUCUUGGUUCCGGCAUCGAUGAAGAACGCAGCGAACUGCGAUAAGUAAUGUGAAUUGCAGAAUUCAGUGAAUCAUCGAGUCUUUGAACGCACAUUGCGCCCCCUGGCAUUCCGGGGGGCAUGCCUGUCCGAGCGUCAUUGCUGCCCAUCAAGCCCGGCUUGUGUGUUGGGUCGUCGUCCCCCCCGGGGGACGGGCCCGAAAGGCAGCGGCGGCACCGUGUCCGGUCCUCGAGCGUAUGGGGCUUUGUCACCCGCUCGAUUAGGGCCGGCCGGGCGCCAGCCGACGUCUCCAACCAUUUUCUUCAGGUUGACCUCGGAUCAGGUAGGGAUACCCGCUGAACUUAA
rnacentral:rRNA from 1 species